rnacentral:tRNA from 1 species
GCUGGUGUCACCAAGAGGCUUGGCAGUAGAUUUGUAAUCUAUCAACGGGGGUUCGAAUCCCUCCACUAGCU